GGCGCGAUGGCCGAGCGGUUAGGCAGGGGUCUGCAAAACCUCGCACACCGGUUCAACUCCGGUUCGCGCCUCCA
rnacentral:tRNA from 1 species